rnacentral:rRNA from 1 species
AGCGAACGCUGGCGGCAGGCCUAACACAUGCAAGUCGAACGAACCCUUCGGGGUUAGUGGCGGACGGGUGAGUAACACGUGGGAACGUGCCUUUAGGUUCGGAAUAACUCAGGGAAACUUGUGCUAAUACCGAAUGUGCCCUUCGGGGGAAAGAUUUAUCGCCUUUAGAGCGGCCCGCGGCUGAUUAGCUAGUUGGUGAGGUAAAGGCUCACCAAGGCUACGAUCAGUAGCUGGUCUGAGAGGAUGACCAACCACAUUGGGACUGAGACACGGCCCAAACUCAUACGGGAGGCAGCAGUGGGGAAUCUUGCGCAAUGGGCGAAAGCCUGAAGCAGCCAUGCCGCGUGGAUGAUGAAGGUCUUAGGAUUGUAAAAUCCUUUCACCGGUGAAGAUAAUGACUGUAGCCGGAGAAGAAGCCCCGGCUAACUUCGUGCCAGCCGCCGCAGUAACAC